rnacentral:rRNA from 1 species
UACGUAGGGGGCAAGCGUUGUCCGGAAUUAUUGGGCGUAAAGAGCUCGUAGGCGGUUUGUCGCGUCUGCUGUGAAAACCCGAGGCUCAACCUCGGGCCUGCAGUGGGUACGGGCAGACUAGAGUGCGGUAGGGGAGAUUGGAAUUCCUGGUGUAGCGGUGAAAUGCGCAGAUAUCAGGAGGAACACCGGUGGCGAAGGCGGGUCUCUGGGCCGAUACUGACGCUGAGGAGCGAAAGCGUGGGGAGCGAACAGG